UACGAAGGGGGCGAGCGUUGUUCGGAUUUACUGGGCGUAAAGGGCGCGCAGGCGGCUCAUUUUGUCAGGCGUGAAAGCCCCGGGCUUAACCUGGGAACUGCGUUUGAUACGGGUGGGCUAGAGUUCGGGAGAGGAGAGUGGAAUUCCCAGUGUAGAGGUGAAAUUCGUAGAUAUUGGGAAGAACACCGGUGGCGAAGGCGGCUCUCUGGACCGAUACUGACGCUGAGGCGCGAAAGCGUGGGGAGCAAACAGGG
rnacentral:rRNA from 1 species